GGAAUAAAGUGAUCACACAAAGCCAAUACUCACAAUGUUUCAAAGUGGAUUUAUUUGUUAUUGUCAUACAGUAUCACGUUUCCAACAGUCCCACAGCAUCAGAUGCAGCAUGCAGAGAAAGGGGAAAAAGAAAUCUCAAACUUAAACCAUUUUCAGUUUCCACAUACUAAAAAAAAACUAAAAAAACUAGUCUCCUUCAAAGAAAAUAGAAAAAGUAGCAGUUCUAAAACUAAGGAGCGGUCUGAACUAUAAGGACGACAGAACAGAAAGCUGGAACUGCAUUUAAUAAAUAUGUAUAUACAAAACCAAAAACAUCGUAUCUCCCUGUGAAAGCAGAGUACAGUGUUUAGCAGUUGACAUAGGAAAUGACCUUUUUAACUGGGAAAAAGAACAAUCAUGUCGUUGAUUCGGGAGGAAAAUACUAAACACACUUAAAUAGUUUUGGAUUACUGCUCAUAAUGUGUACAUUUACCAACGUUUGGCAACAUCCAUAUUGUACCCCAAGUGGAUGAUUAAAUAUCAUAAUUACUAACAUCACCAUUCAUGUGUUAACAAGAGGAUUAUUUCAAAUGGAUUAUCUACAUGCACAACCAAAAUCCCGCAAGCAAACGGGAGGCCUUAUGACCAGAGUCCUAUGAGCCCUGGUCUAAAGUAGUGCACUACAUAGGGAAUAGGGCUCUGGUCUAAAGUAGUGCACUACAUAGGGAAUAGGGCUCUGGUCUAAAGUAGUGCACUACAUAGGGAAUAGGGUGUCAUUUGAUACACAUCCAAUGACUCUCCAACUCAAUGUUUCUCACUAAAAAUCAUUGGUGUCCAAACCAGGAAAUCAGGUCACUCAAAGCUAACCUGACACCAAAUCACUGGUGUCCAAACCCACCUAUCAGGUCACUCAAAGCCAAUCCGACACCAAAUCACUGGUGUCCAAACCAGGUAAUCAGGUCACUCAAACCAAACCAGGAAAUCAGGUCACUCAAAGCCAAUCCGACACCAAAUCAUUGGUGUCCAAACCAGGAAAUCAGGUCACUCAAAGCCAACCCGACACCAAAUCACUGGUGUCCAAACCAGGAAAUCAGGUCACUCAAAGCCAAUCCGACACCAAAUCACUGGUGUCCAAACCCACCUAUCAGGUCACUCAAAGCCAACCCGACACCAAAUCACUGGUGUCCAAACCAGGUAAUCAGGUCACUCAAACCAAACCCACCUAUCAGGUCACUCAAACCAAACCCACCUAUCAGGUCACUCAAAGCCAACCUGACACACCAUUUUGUUAUUAUUUUUGCCAGGGAUGCCCACCUCCCCUUAAAUACGGUAGUUUGGUAA
rnacentral:lncRNA from 1 species